AUGGGGCGGGGGUGUCCAUGGUGGGCAGAAUCCGGCCCUGGGCAGGGAGGGGUUAACUCCAGCUUGGCCAGUGGCCAGCUGGAUGGCUCCAGGGGCAGUCCUGGGCAACCUCUGGCCAGCACCACCUCUGGCCUGCACCCUCCCCUCUUCUCUGCCCCAGCCUUGAGCUCACGGACAGACCAGACACACAGCUACCAGAUCCUCACAGCGCUGGAGUCUUCUCUCCUGGAAAAAGGCUACCACAGUUCUGGACCUCCAUCCACAGACCACACCGUCCAAGUCACAGGCCCCAAAACGGGAAAUGACUUCUGGCCUCACCUACAGAUCCAGGCCCCGGCUGAGCAGAGAAGCCAGCGUCCUGUCUCCAGCUUGGUCCUGGAUUCCCUGGAGCUGGAAGGGCCAAUCAGGAGUGAAAGAAGCUCUCCAGUUCCGCCUUGUACUUUGGGCUUUUUCUGGGUCCCAUCUCCAGACACCCAGACCCCUCCUGCUGGUUCCUUCUGCCCACACUGCCCCGUUGUCUGCUGUUUUCCCAGGGAGAGCUGGGAGGCAGGGCUGGGGCAGGUGCAGCAGUGGUGGAGUCCCCCCCCCCACCCCACCCCCCGGUGUCUAGGUCUUUGGUAG
rnacentral:lncRNA from 1 species